CCGUUGCCCUGGAAACGGAUGGAGCCUCACUGGUUUCGAGAGUCGGCGAAGGGUUUGGCUCCGCUCCUGGCCGUUCUGGGGUUACACUCUCCUCGGCGCCUAAACCCCGCCAGAAUAACCACCGUGGAAAUCGGGACUCCUCACUUUUCGCUUUCCAUCGCGCUCUUACACUGAAAACACUGCUCGACUCUGGGAAUCCAGAGACGAAUGAGGCACCGUCCCUGCCUUCAAGUUGCUGACAGUUUUAUGGGGACAGUGUAUAGCAUAUACGUGACAGUACAUGACGGUUCUGAUAUGCAAUCGCGGUCACAAACUCAAAUUCCCAUCGGAGACAGCCAGGAUCCAAUCCAGGUGUGCCAGGUGUCCCCAAGGUCAUCCCCAGUUUCAAUGAUUCAUUGGGACUCAUAGGACUCAGCAUAUAGUCAUCCUCAUGACUAUAUUUUAUUACAACUAAAGGAUACAAAACAAAAUCAGCAAAGGGAAAAGGCACAUAGGGUAAAGUCUGGAGGUGCGAGCUUCUAAGAGUUCUCUCUCAAGGAAGGCACACAGGACAUGCUUAAAUCCUCCAACAAUGAGUCGUACAACAAUGUCAUCUACCAGGCUCCAACCUUCUCAGGGAUCUUGGGUCAUGGCUGAAGCAGUGAGGAGUAGCAAAGAGAGAACUAGAAGUCUGGAGCCUCAGAUUCUGGCCUACUGAGAC